rnacentral:rRNA from 1 species
GGCGCACGGGUGAGUAACACGUAUCCAACCUGCCGUCUACUCUUGGACAGCCUUCUGAAAGGAAGAUUAAUACAAGAUGGCAUCAUGAGUCCGCAUGUUCACAUGAUUAAAGGUAUUCCGGUAGACGAUGGGGAUGCGUUCCAUUAGAUAGUAGGCGGGGUAACGGCCCACCUAGUCUUCGAUGGAUAGGGGUUCUGAGAGGAAGGUCCCCCACAUUGGAACUGAGACACGGUCCAAACUCCUACGGGAGGCAGCAGUGAGGAAUAUUGGUCAAUGGGCGAGAGCCUGAACCAGCCAAGUAGCGUGAAGGAUGACUGCCCUAUGGGUUGUAAACUUCUUUUAUAAAGGAAUAAAGUCGGGUAUGCAUACCCGUUUGCAUGUACUUUAUGAAUAAGGAUCGGCUAACUCCGUGCCAGCAGCCGCGGUAAUACGGAGGAUUCGAGCGUUAUCCGGAUUUAUUGGGUUUAAAGGGAGCGUAGAUGGAUGUUUAAGUCAGUUGUGAAAGUUUGCGGCUCAACCGUAAAAUUGCAGUUGAUACUGGAUAUCUUGAGUGCAGUUGAGGCAGGCGGAAUUCGUGGUGUAGCGGUGAAAUGCUUAGAUAUCACGA